ACUGCAGUGAUGUGGAAGGGGUCGAGGUGUGGGACAAUGGACUGCGGUGAGGUGAAAGGGGUCGAGGUGUGGGACAAUGGACUGCAGUGAGGUGAAAGGGGUCGAGGAGUGGGACAAUAGACUGCAGUGAUGUGGAAGGGGUCGAGGUGUGGGACAAUGGACUGCGGUGGGGUGAAAGGGGUCGAGGUGUGGGACAAUGGACUGCAGUGAGGUGAAAGGGGUCGAGGAGUGGGACAAUAGACUGCAGUGAUGUGGAAGGGGUCGAGGUGUGGGACAAUGGACUGCGGUGGGGUGAAAGGGGUCGAGGUGUGGGACAAUGGACUG